AAGACGAAGACGAGGGCGAUCAAGAAGACGUCACCGUUAUGAAAUUAUUGAUGAAGAUGAUGAUGAUAAAGCUGAAAGUAUGGAAAUGUUACCGAAACACAAAUAUUCGAGUUUAACGUUAACCGAUUCCGACGAGGACAGCGAUGAAACUACACUAUUCGAAGCCAAAAAGCGAAUACCAAAUGGUUCAGUGAAUGGCUCGAUUGGUCGGAAGGCCAUGUAAAAACACAGCUUGYUCUCGAUGUUUUGUUCUCGAAUACAACACCUGGUGGUCGGCACGUGGUGGUCAACCCGUGUUUGUUAACCARUGGUGGAGAACCCGCCCUACUGCAAGUGUGGGUUAUCAACGUUAUUGCAGUUCCGCCAAUAGAAUAAUAGAUUUAUAUAUUUAUAUUGAAGUGUUUUAAGGAUUCAAAAAUUUAAAUAASACCACCARGGGGUGCCAAAAGGUUGGUUUUGGGACCCAAUGUGAAAAAAUAUUAUUUCGAUCACAGAUUAUAAGCAGAUCUAGUAUUAAUUUUCAUAGUAUCGUUAUUACAAACUGUUGGGGGGCUGUAAAUGAAUAUUCUAGAGGGUGGACCUCUUAUAUGUAUCAUCGUUAUUAUCAAAAAUGGGUUCUUUCUACAACUAAACAAGGAUCAUAGAUCCAUAUAAAAAUUUAGAGUUUAUAAGCUUAUGAAAUAGGAAUUUUCUUACGUAUUAAUCUCAUACAUUAGCAGUUUUUAUACAAUAGUCGAAUUAAUAGAAACCUAAAUAGAAAACUCGCGCCUGUUCCUCGCAUCGUGUGUCUCUCAAUCUUUACCUACCUUUAUUGUGUUCUUUUCAAACCCCYUGUGCUCUAUAACCUUUAGUUAUAACAGAGYUUUCUAUUUCUUUUAUAAAAUAGACAAAAGAAUUAACGCUGUAGUAUAGCAAAGCACGGGAUGUACUCGGAUACAGAGCGUGCCUUAAACAAUCAGUGCGYAGACGAAUACUUUCUUUUCUAAAGUACAAUACUUUUAGUUAAAGGGUAAGGACUGUAAWUCCGUGAAACAGAUAUUUGAUUUGUUAACCUUUUUAGUAGUAUUUGACUGUUAUUUCACCAUUAGUUUUUGUUUCACGGGUGUACUGUUCCCGCAUUGUCAUAAGAGUGUUGGUGGACCCACUAUGGKUUUUUUUUUAGAUAUCGCUGUUAAUAUUUUGUGCGGUUAGUCUUAACUUACUCGUAUUUGUCAAUACAGUUUAUAGAAGUGAAGAAUAAACAGCAAAAACUUACAUAUAGGAAUCGAUUGAAAAAACAUUAGUUCACUGGGCAUUCCAAGCAGCGUUUGCUUGAUUCUUCUCGUUUCCCUUUUAAAUCCUAUGAAAGAUCACCGUAGUCUUUAUCAAAACCUAUGAUUUGUGAUGUUUAUUUUUCAUUUCUAUAUGAAUGUUUUGGAAUUACGUGUAUAUAUUUGAUGAGACUGAUAAGAUAACCCUGUGUUCCUUACGAUGUGCGGUAUACGGGCAGAGAGAGAGACCGUAUACGGGCAGAAAGACCGUAUACGGGCAGAAAGAGAGACCGUAUACGGGCAGAGAGAGAGACCGUAUACGGGCAGAAAGAGAGAUCGCUGGCUACCAAACGCCUCUUAAGAGGUACACUAAGCCUUCAGCUCGUAAGAGUCGUUGAGAAUUACAAUAAAAUAGAAAUAUACAAAUGUAAUGGCCCUCUUUUGGGUUAUAUUAUGAGAAUCGCUCUGGAGUGAUAUUCCACGAGUUUUGUUAGAAUAUAAUAUUGAAUGUAACGUGUUGACAUUUCAGCUAAUAAAAUCAUGUUUUGCUUGAAAAAGAAAAGAAAAA